rnacentral:ncRNA from 28 species
UCACUUAUUGGCUUCUGACGGAAGAAGGAUGGAUAAACUAUCGGGAAGCCUCCUGGCGUAAAGCCGUCCGGCUGGGUUUUACAG